UCUCUCUCUCUCUCUCUCUCUCUCUCCCCCUCCCUCGCUCGCUGUAUUCCUGGACUGACAUAAAGCAAAGUCCAACAGGAUGCGAAUGUCGUUGGCUAGUCGGCACUUAUUGUAUCCCUAAUCGCCCAGAGGGCGGUUAAGAGUCAACCGCAUUGCUGUGGGUCUGGAGUCACAUGUAGACCAGACCAGAUGUCCCCUGUCAGACUGCACUCUGUCAAGUCCCUUCUGAAUGUUGUAUCAGAGAUAACGGGAACUGCAGAUGCUGGAGAAUCCGAGAUAACAAAGUGUGGAGCUGGAUGAACACAGCAGGCAAAGCAGCAUCUCAGGACCACCAAAGCUGGCGUUUCGGGCCGAGACCCUUCUGAAUGUUAUCUGUUUCAUAAGAUCCCCUCUCCUUCUCCUAAAUUCCAAUAGAUACGGUUGAAGAAAAGCAAAAUCUUGCGGAUGCUGAAAAUCUGAAACUGGCACAGAGAAUGUCGGAGAAAUUCAGCAGGUCUGGCAGCAGAGAGGAACAGAAUUAACAUUUCAAGCCGGACGGGACUCUCCUUCACAACCCUGGGCUCGACAUGUUAACUCUGCCUCUCUCUGUCUACGGGCACUGCCAAACCUGCUGAGUUUCUCCAAAAUUCUCUGAGUCUUUUUCUUUCAGAUUUCCAGCAUCCACAGUUCCUUGAUUCAUUUGAGCUCGACUGUGAUGCCCAUCAUGGUCAAAUAGCUACUGGCUCUUGCUCUCCUGACACACGUGAAGGACAAAUCCCACUUGUCACCCUGGCAAAAUUCACCGCCUUGAGAAGGCACAGUAGGAAGUAAGCAGGACAUCAUAUGAGGAAGAGGCAACUUAUUAAGCCUGACAGAUACAAUAGUGUCAAGUAACAGCAGCAAUUGUAAAACGGGACAUGAAUUGUGCAUGGGUGUAAAACACAGUUCCCAACUGUGAACUGUAGGUUUUGUAAUGCUAAGUGGAGGAAGUUACACGUAAGCUGGUUAUUUGAUUC